ensembl:lncRNA
AACAAAGAGUCCUCUUCUUGUGCAAAUUUGCAGUCAUAUUUCCCUACUGCAUACUUUGUGGUUUUCUCUUAACUUCUUUCCAUUUUGACAUGGUGGGGGAAGCAGGUGCAAUUCAAGCUGUCAGGUUUGAAAUACACAGAGAGGAAAUAGCUGUCUUGUCCCUAUCUGACACCACAGUGCACAUGUAUGUGUGUGCAGACCUCAGGCUUUAAGCUUAUCUUGGAGCUAACGAAUGGAAACACCCUCUGCAAAGAGGCCUUUCAUUUUAGCUUUUAUCUAAUUUUCUGUGUAAAUGUAGCCUACGGGUAUGUAUUGCUGUGUUUAUCAUAUAAAGUCUCCUCCCAUAUUUCUCUCAACACACACCCCACUGGAGAGACAAAUUUGACAAACUUGAACAAAGAACAAAAUAUUGCAUGUUAACAUCAGACGGAGACUGACAUUUCCUUCUUUGUGAAGCAGAAAAGAAAGUUUGUUAGCUUCACAUCCACGAUAAGAAUCUCCUCUUCCACUGAAUCCAAAAGGUGCUCUGUUGGAUUGAGAUCUGCUGACAGGAGCAGUAAGCGAUGUGGUCUUCUGCUGCUGUAGUCCAUUUUGUGCAUUCAGAGAUGGUCUUCUGCAUACCUUCAUUGCUGCAAGUCUGAAGACUCCCUGCAGUGAAACAGCACCCUAACCUGGAGAUUCAUCUCCCUGAGUUUUUCCAAGAUUUACACUUAUUAAUUUUUAAUGGUCUGGACUUUGUAAGAAAAAAAUGUGCAAAUGUGUUCUUGAAUAUGAUUGAAUUUGUGUAUAUGUGGAUGUUUUAAUCCAUAGUUACAGUCAUUGACAUUGUUCUUUUAAAGUGAGCCAACUAUUUUUCUCCUCUUGGCGUCAGUGGGAUGAAUGUACACGUAUGCUUUUAUCUCUGAG